rnacentral:rRNA from 1 species
GGGUUGUGAGGUUAAGCGACUAAGCGUACACGGUGGAUGCCCUGGCAGUCAGAGGCGAUGAAGGGCGUGCUAAUCUGCGAUAAGCGCCGGUAAGGUGAUAUGAACCGUUAUAACCGGCGAUACCCGAAUGGGGAAACCCAGUGUGAUUCGUCACACUAUCAUUAACUGAAUCCAUAGGUUAAUGAGGCGAACCGGGGGAACUGAAACAUCUAAGUACCCCGAGGAAAAGAAAUCAACCGAGAUUCCCCCAGUAGCGGCGAGCGAACGGGGAGGAGCCCAGAGCCUGAAUCAGCAUGUGUGUUAGUGGAAGCGUCUGGAAAGGCGCGCGAUACAGGGUGACAGCCCCGUACACAAAAGCGCAUGUGCUGUGAGCUCGAUGAGUAGGGCGGGACACGUGGUAUCCUGUCUGAAUAUGGGGGGACCAUCCUCCAAGGCUAAAUACUCCUGACUGACCGAUAGUGAACCAGUACCGUGAGGGAAAGGCGAAAAGAACCCCGGCGAGGGGAGUGAAAAAGAACCUGAAACCGUGUACGUACAAGCAGUGGGAGCCCCACCACUAAGCCAGUGGUGGACUCCACAUACGCAUCCUUUGCUGAGGAUACGGUUAACGGAGCGAAAGCGACGUUCAACCUCAAAAGAAGCAGAGGGGGCUUAGUGGUGGGGUGACUGCGUACCUUUUGUAUAAUGGGUCAGCGACUUAUAUUCUGUAGCAAGGUUAACCGAAUAGGGGAGCCGGAGGGAAACCGAGUCUUAACCGGGCGUUAAGUUGCAGGGUAUAGACCCGAAACCCGGUGA